CUUGAUAACAUGUCUGCAAGUGAAC
rnacentral:piRNA from 1 species